UUAAGGAAAGAUGGCCUGCCCUCUUCGAACCUUUCCAGGUAAAUGACUUAUCAUUCUAUUUUUCCUGACCAAGUUUCCAUUGUGACUUGGACAUGACAUACUAGACUCACUUUUUGCCUGAAAAUGUAUACUAAAACCCUUAAUAUCAGUAACGGUCAACAUUUGCUGUCUUACAGAUUAAAGGGGAACAUUAUCACCAGACCUAUGUAAGCGUCAAUAUAUACCUUGAUGUUGCAGAAAAAAGACCAUAUAUAUUUUUACUCUAAAUGGGUGAAUUUUGGCGAAUUAAACGCCUUUCUAUUAUUCGCUCUCGGAGCGAUGACGUCACAACAGGAAGCAAUCCGCCAUUUUCACAAACACCGAGUCAAAUCAGCUCUGUUAUUUUCCGUUUUUUCGACUGUUUUCCGUACCUUGGAGACAUCAUGCCUCGUCGGUGUGUUGUCGGAGGGUGUAACAACACGAACAGGGACGGAUUCAAGUUGCACCAGUGGCCCAAAGAUGCGAAAGUGGCAAGAAAUUGGACGUUUGUUCCGCACACUUUACCGACGAAAGCUAUGCUACGACAGAGAUGGCAAGAAUGUGUGGAUAUCCUGCGACACUCAAAGCAGAUGCAUUUCCAACGAUAAAGUCAAAGAAAUCUGUCGCCAGACCCCCAUUGAAUCUGCCGGAGUGUGUGAGCAAUUCAGGGACAAAGGCCCUCGGUAGCACGGCAAGCAAUGGCGGCAGUUUGUUCCCGCAGACGAGCGAUCUAAACCCCCUUGGCUCACACCGUCCCUUAUGCCACCGAAGAUGAUCAAGAGAAGAAUAUCGACCCUAGCUUCCCUGGCCUGCUGACAUCAACUCCAAAACUGGACAGAUCAGCUUUCAGGAAAAGAGCGUGGAUGAGGUGAAGUGCAGAGACCACUGUUCAUGAGGACCUGGAAAUGAAGAAUAUGAGCAUCUACAUCUGUCGUGAGCCAAAUGCAGUAGGAAUCAUCAUUGAGGGAGUACCAGUCCUUACUCAUCUUGGAAACCUGGCUAAAGCCUGCUGCCUACCUCUGGGGUUGACGUAUGCACUUAAUCUUGAGUAUCCAUCCAAACUUUCCAAAACAUUUGAGGUGCUUCAAAGACUUUUUGUGGGACUCGACACACUGCGCCCAAAACCAACCCCCAAAUUCAUGACUCUCAAAAACAAGCUUCUAGCUUAGGCAGUGAGCCAUGACUGUCAGCUUGCACUUUUGAACAGCUAUUUUCUUGUCUGUUCAAAAUCAUUAUACAUUGUUCAUUGAGUGGAAUUCUUCAGAAUGUUGUAGCGGUUUGUCCUCUUCAGGUUUUAUACAAAGCUCCAGGUCAUCGUUUCUGGUGUGUAAAUUAAGUUGUUUUAUGUUUUAUACACACUAAAUUGCCCCACUGUGAAGCUCCAACUAGUCAGGAGGGAUCCGUGAGUUGUUUAAGUUAAAAUGUUUCAAAAUAUACACACUGAAAGACACUAUGGUGAAGGUGUUCUGCUUGUGAAUUGUUACAGAAGUACAGAUAAUCUUAAUGUUAAAUUGUUUUAGCAAGAAACUAUACUGUGAAUGUUCUAAGUACAACUUGAGAUGCUGAGGUCAUGCAUUCUUUUAUGCACUAAAUACUGAUGUUCUUGACUGUUAAUACUGUCCAGCUUAUUGACACGGUUUGGAUAUGGCUUGUGAAAACGUUUUAAUAAUAUGUAUACGGUUAAAAAAAGAAAACUACUGUGAAGGUGUUCUAUACAGCACUUUAAAAAGUUGAGGUCAUGCAUUCUAUGCACUAAAUAUGGAUGUUGACUGUUCAUACUGUCCAGCUCAUUGCCACUGUUUUUAUAUGGUAAUGAUUUAAUAAAGGUUGGAAUUUGA